rnacentral:rRNA from 1 species
AUUGAACGCUGGCGGAAUGCUUUACACAUGCAAGUCGAACGGCAGCACGGGGGCAACCCUGGUGGCGAGUGGCGAACGGGUGAGUAAUACAUCGGAACGUGCCCAGUCGUGGGGGAUAACGUAGCGAAAGCUACGCUAAUACCGCAUACGAUCUACGGAUGAAAGCGGGGGAUCGCAAGACCUCGCGCGAUUGGAGCGGCCGAUGGCAGAUUAGGUAGUUGGUGGGGUAAAGGCUCACCAAGCCUUCGAUCUGUAGCUGGUCUGAGAGGACGACCAGCCACACUGGGACUGAGACACGGCCCAGACUCCUACGGGAGGCAGCAGUGGGGAAUUUUGGACAAUGGGCGAAAGCCUGAUCCAGCCAUUCCGCGUGCAGGAUGAAGGCCCUCGGGUUGUAAACUGCUUUUGUACGGAACGAAACGGCCUUUUCUAAUACAGAGGGCUAAUGACGAUACCGUAAGAAUAAGCACCGGCUAACUACGUGCCAGCAGCCGCGGU